ACAGAGGUGCCGAGCGUUAGGCGGAAUCACUGGGCUUAAAGCGUGUGUAGGCGGGUCGUUAAGUGUCUUGUGAAAUCCCACCGCUCAACGGUGGAACUGCUGGGCAUACUGGCGAUCUUGAGCCACCUAGGGGCAGACGGAACAAGCGGUGGAGCGGUGAAAUGCGUAGAUAUCGCUUGGAACGCCGACGGUGAAAACAGUCUGCUGGGGGUGUGCUGACGCUGAGACACGAAAGCCAGGGGAGCGAACGGGA
rnacentral:rRNA from 1 species